rnacentral:rRNA from 1 species
UACGUAGGCGGAAAAUUAGGUCAGUAGUGAAAUCCUGCAGCUUAACUGUAGAACUGUUAUUGAUACUGGUUUUCUUGAAUAUAGUUGAGGUAGGCGGAAUGUGUAAUGUAGCGGUGAAAUGCUUAGAUAUUACACAGAACACCGAUUGCGAAGGCAGCUUACUAAGCUAUGAUUGACGCUGAGGUACGAAAGCGUGGGGAGCGAACAGGAUUAGAUACCCUGGUAGUCC